CACUCUGCCCCAGCCUGUGGCACUGCCUGGGGUUGUUGUGACCCAAGGGCAGGAGCCAGCACUGGGCCUUGUUGAACCUCACACCAUUGGCCUCAGCCCAUGAUCCAACCUGCCCAGAUCCCUCUGCAGAGCCUUCCUGCCCUCCAGCAGGUCAAUACUUACACACACCUUGUCAUCCAUGAAUUUACUGAGAAUACACUCAACCCUCACAUCCAGAUUAUCAAGAAAGAUGUUAAGUAGAACUGGCCCCAUUACUAGCACCAUGCCCCACCACCCUCUGGGCCUGGCCAAUCCAGCAAAGGGUGCACCUGUCCUCUCCAUGGGCUGCCAGUUUUUUCAGAAUACUGUGGGAGACAGAAUCAAAGGCUUUGCUGAAGUCCAGGUAGGCUACAUCCACAGCCUUUCCCUCAUCCACUAGGCAGGUUACCUGGUCAGAAAUAGAGAUUAGUUUGGUCAGGUGGGACCUGCCUUUCCUAAACCUGUUCUGUGUGGGCCUGAUCCAUUGGUUAUUCUGUGUGUACCACGUGAUCAUAUUUAAGAUCAUCUAUUCCAUAGUCUUGCUGGGUGCUGAGGUCAGGCUCACAGGCUGUACUUGCCUGGAUCUGACUUCCAGCCCUUUUUGUGGAUGGACAUCACACUGGCCAACCUCCAGUCAUCUCUGACAUCUCCAGACUUCCCUAAUUAGCUAGGGCUAAGUAAGAAGUCUGAGUCCAGACUAAUGUGUGAUGGCAAUAGAGCUGAGCAUAAAAGGGAACAUCUUAAAUACGCCAAAACGUGGAGCUCCUGCCUGUGUGCUGUAGAGAUGGGGUGCCUUUCAGUAGGAUCCUUGCUGUGCUGUAUCCUUGUCCCCAGCAGCACAGCCUAGGCAGCAGUCUUAGGAAGAGAAAAGUAUAGCUAAAUAUACAGUGAUUUCUUUGGGUGCCAAUUUUCUGCAAACUUCUCAGCCUUCAUUAAUUAUAACUGACGACCUGCAGAAAGUAUGGAGGCAAAGAAAAGGCUGAGAUAGCUAAGCAACACUAUAAUGGUUGUUCCUGCUUUAACAACUGUCAUUCUUUUAAAAAGCUCAGGUACAAUACAUGCUUCCUCUUAAUUGUUUCCCCAGUGACUGUAUUUAGCAAGCUGGGAAAAUGAGCUGGACUAUGUUUUUUUUUUUUUUACUUAAUGAUCUCUGUGUAAAAUUUGGUUCCAACUGAUACUUAAAUUCUUAGUUUACAGGCAUUUGAACAAUAUUGCAAACGUGUCUCUAGCUUUGCGGGGACUGGAACACCCAAUCAAGAUUUACAAACAACUAUUUUCUUAGGUUGUAUCAGAGAUAAACUUAAAAGGUAGUUUUUAAGUACAAAGGCUUCUGUAUAGUUAAGACACCCUUUGAAAUUAAGAGACACAGCUUUUUUUGGUCCCGCAAAAGAAUCACACUGUGCUGUCUUGUCAUUCAUUUGGUUAAAGGGUACUGUACACUGAGGAAUAGUUAAUAAGGACCAAAUCAAGGGGUUUACAUUCUGAAGGGUUUUUUUCCUUUUAUUUUUUUUUACCCAACACAGAUUUUACCUUAUAUUUGUAAAACCUGGGCAUUUGUCCUAAAACUUUAGAAAGUACUUGAACUUUUGUAGCCCAAGUACUAAUUAGAUUAGAGUGUGCUUGUUUUGCCAGUCUAUCUCUGCAACACUGGCUGAGCUGUGGAAUAUUUCAUCUAUUCAGAGCAGUCAGCUUGCAAGGCUAAACACAGCUUACUAACAUAUACUUUGGGUGACAUUAAUAUACUUUGUAUUUUAUUUUGUAUCCCAGCUGAAAGUAUUUUCAUUGUCUGGUUGCCUGUUUCUAUCUCUUCUUUUUCUUUCCCAUCUUCCUUUGACUGUGUUUUGCUGUUGCCUGUCCAUUGUACACUCUGUCUCUAUUAAAGAGACAAAAUGGGUAAAUUUUCCAACCACUUACCUUCCUUCUUCAUAUGCUUCUUGACCUGCAGUCUUGGAAACUGUACCAGAGCUAAUAUGUCAAGCUAAGCCUUGUAAUCAAAUUUGGAAGGUAGAGAUAUUCUAUGGUUAGAGCCUGCAGUAAAAUUUUGUCAGAGAAACCAGUACUUUGUUUUACUUCACUACCUUCAAAGGCUUCACUGGAAUACCUUUCUUAGAGCAGGGAUUUAAUUUUUUUCUACUGGUCUGUGACAAGACAACAUCUAACUUUUGAAGUUGCUCUGAAUAACAUCUAGUUUUUGAAGUUGUUUUGAAUAGAAAGGGAAAGCUUCUUUUUUUUUUCUUUUUUUCUUUUCUUUUUUUUUUUUUUCUGUUCCAGGGAUUAAGAUGAGCUGAGAGAUACACCUGUGCUGCACUUGGACACUUGGAAUAAUAGUGGCACAAUGUGGUCUUGUAUUUCCUGAAACUUAGUGCUUUGAGCCUAUUCCAGGGGAAUAUUAGGAGUUCCAAUAAUUUGGCAGUUUACCACUGAAAAGGAAAGGACCCUUGUGGUUCUGAGAAGCAACAGCAACACAUCCUGAGCAUGGUUUUCACCACAUUUGGGACAACAGCCCGGGCACCAAAGUUCACCAUGUGCACACUUGGAUGACCAGGUCACUGCUUUCUGGAAAAAGCAGAGUAAACAUAACUACACCUUUGUCACUGAGUCAUGCCAGCUUUUUUCUAGAUCUUCAGAACAGAGAACACAACCAAAUAUGGAGCCAUUGAAGGCCAGCUGAACAAGUUGUUCUAAAAGUGAAUUUCUCCAAUAAACAGCCUUUUAUUUUAGAUAUCUGUGUUUCGCUGGACCUAAGAAGAACUGAAAAUGGUGGUUUUCUUCUUUUUUUUUUUUCUGGUCACAAGUUAUUAUUUGGGGAUUUGGAGGAGGAAUGAAGAGAUGCAGAGAGAUUUGUCAAGACAGUUUAGGAUUCAAGAAUACUUAAAAAGGAAAGGCUGAGAGAAAAGCUAGGAAAGUCAUUGAUUCACAUGGCACGAUACAAGGAAGUUUCUCCUCUUUAUCAAGCAAGACCAUGUAUUGACUGCAGUCCAAAAGUAUCUGCAAUGAAAUAGAAACUUGAUAUCUGGCUUCGCCAUCUAGCUGACACACAUAAGAGGAAGUGAUUGCUGAAUUUUAGAAGCUGAAAAAAAUCAAACUGGAACUGACUGGUACUAUUUUCCCUAAAUACAGAUCAAUUAACUACUGAAACAAAGUAAAUUUUAAUGGGCUUUCCAACUCUAGUUUUAACCUCAAGAGGUAUCUAUCUGUCUUAAAAUAGGUAUUGUAGCUCAACUCAGCAAUAGUUCAGGACAGCACAGAGACUUCUAUGACAAAACAGAUCAGCCCAGCGGAUGGUCAAAAUGGUUGUUCUAGCCUUAUCUUUAAUGGGGAGAAAAGUUGUCUUGGUUCUUCCUUCAGCUCUUCUAUGAGUUUACUUCGUGAUCCAUAUUUUUGCCUCUUUGGAGGCUACUAUUUGUAAUGGAGCUUCAGGGCAGCUGCAGCUGUUUAAGAAAGGACAUAAUCAUUUCUAAACGGUGUAGUGUGGCAAGGAAUCCAGGCUGCAUAAGAAUCUAUUCUAAAGAUGCCCAUGGAAGAGAGCCAGCCACACAUGGAAUUUUAGCACUCCUUCGUUCUGUUUAUUCCACUUUCUCAGCAAUAGUCUUCUGCAUUAAUAUUUUAUCCGGCGAUUCUGCAUCACUGUAUGUCUGUGGUCAUAUCCAGAAGGUGGAAUACCAUUCUGGAUUAACAGUUUAAGACCCUCUAUUUACUUAUCUUGAAUGUCUGUAUGAUUUUAAAUGCAGUGAAGGGUAUGUACAUCCUCACACUUGUUUUUUUAGGUUAUCCAAAACUUCUGAUGUGCAAUUCGUCUUUUGUUUGUAAAGUGGUAUUUUGUCCUUUGAAUAAAAAGUGCAGAAGUAAUUAGCAACAUUACCUUAUCAUUAUUUACAGCAAGUCAGUUCCCUCUUUGUGCACAGAAAACUAAAAUUGCAUCCUUCCUUGGCUGAAAACUUCCUUUCUGCAAGCAAUAAAAGAUGCAAUAUCCCUUACAGUGGCUAGUUCAGCUUUCUUGCAAAAAAAAGUUCAGCUAGUUCAGCUUUCUUUCUUUCUUUGGGGCAAAACCACAUUGGCAGAAGGAAAAUGUCUUGUUUCUGAUAUCUGUGAAGCUUCUCUGAACUGACCUGAAUAUGAACUUAUACAAAAGGGACCUCUGUGUAGUGACAAGAACUUGAAAACAGGGUAUAAUUACAUAAGAAAUUUAAAAUAAGUUGAGGAGCAUGUUUCAAUGAGAUCGGCAUUCCAAGUAGUCCCUAACAAGAAUUGAAUAUUUGUUUCUCUGUUGUCACUCAUUUUUCUUUAUGACUGAUCAUCUGAAUUUUUGUGUUAAAUUUUCUCCAGGCUGAAACCUUAUGCAUGAUAGCAAUUCCUGUCAACAGACCUUUGGUACAAAGUUGGCCUUGGUAUCCUAUACAAGUCUCCUGACUUCUUUAACUACUUUGAUACUGGUAAAAAAGGGAUUUGUUUAAAAAAAAAUAAAUUUACAAAAAGAUAUCAAAAAGGAUGGGGUUUUUUGUCCCAUGUUGAAGAAGCUAAUAAAGUGCAUAAUCUGAAGAAGUCAAGAGAAGGAAGAACCACAGUGGUGUCACUAGUAACACUUGCACAUUGGUAAGACUGAUGACCUCCUCAUUGCAGCUUUGACCAGGAGGGAGCUGAGCUCAUUGUUGCCAUUGAUAUCAGUAGCUUCAGAGCUUAGCCUCUGUUCAGAUGAAGCCAGUUUCUCACUGAGCCCCUAAACAUAAUUUUGCAUUUGAAGAGGUUAUUUUUUUCUCUUUUAGAAGUAGUUUUUUCUAAUCAGAUUGCCUUGCACGUCCUUUGUAGUUUCACCGGUUGAGGCUCAUUGAAAGGUAUCUGUGAUGUCUAACUCCUUCCUAAUCAUCUUCACAUCAGAGUAGCUGUUUGAUUGUACUUAAACUACUCUGGGAAUCCAUAGUAAGCAUUGUGGCUUAACCCCAGCCAGCCACCAAGCAUUAGGCAGCUACUUACUCACUGCUCCACUAGCAGGAUCAGGCAGAGAAUCAGAAGGAUAAAAAAGAGAGCUCAUGGGUUGAGGUACAGACAGUUUAACAGGGAAAGCAAAACCUGCACAUGCAGCAGAGCAAAACAAGGAAUUCAUUCACUGCUUCCCAUGGGCAGGCAGGUGCUCAGCCAUCUCCUGGAGAGCAAGGCCCAAUCACACCUAAUGGUGACUUGGGAAGACAAAUACCAGCGCUCCAAAUGUUCCCCUUUCCUCCUUCUUCCCCCCCACUUUGUAUACUGAGCAUGAUAUCACAUGGCCUGGAAUAUCCCUCUGCUCAGCUGGGGUCACCUGUCCUGGCUGUCAUCUCCUCCUAACCUCCCAGGCACUCCUAACUUCCUUGUCAGCAUGGCAAUAUGAAAAGGAGAAAAGGCCUUGGCUCUGUGUAAGCUCUGCUGAGCAAUAAGAAAAAAAUCUCUGUUAUGAACUCUAUGUUCAGCACAAUUCCAAAACACAGCCCCAUAACAGCUACUGUGAAGAAAAUUAACUCUACCCCAGACAAAACCCGCAUGACAAGUGAAAUCAUCAGAUUAUUCCCAGUGUCUUAUGUCUGAAAUUCUGGGGUGAGUGUUCCUAUGUUUCCAUGCCUUGGGAACUCCAUUGCUGUAUUGAAAUGCUUUUAAGAUUGAGAUGCUUCUAAGAAUCAUCUUUAAUUUUACAUCUAUGUGUCUCCUCCCUGGCAAAAACUCUGCCAGACCACUCUCACUGACACAGGAGGUUCCGAAGUACAACAUUAUGAGUUGAUAGCUUAGUAUUUCACACCUCCAGGCUGAAUUUUACCUUCUCCUACUAAAGUCUUGCAUCUCAGAUGCUAUUCUUUGUGUUGCAAUAAAGUCACAAGGAGAAACCUUGCAAAGCAGCAGGACAUUUGCUGGUCUAUUCACAACUGCACUUGACCAUCAUAUCCUCUUUUUUUAUGGGCAUCAGAAGAAAAACCAUUUUAUCUGUGGUUUUGGGGAAAGGAGGCAAAGCCUUUUCCAUCCUCCUUUCUCCAGUUUUACUUCCUGCCUUUAGACUGAAGGAGGUUCCUCUUCUGAAAGAGCCUAAGUCUCUUUGACUUGAGAUGAUGUUUUCCUGGGAUACACACCAGAGUAGAAGCCUAACUGCUCUUCUAGACUGAAAGUAUUCCUCGCUGAGGUGGUCUUGAAGUCUGUUUCUACUCCACAGAUACAAUCUUGUUCCUGCUACAAAAUGGAAUAGCAUGGUUUUGACAACAGCAACAAGAACACAGAUGUGGAGAACCUGGGCCAGGGCAAUUUUGUGGAAGGAGAAGCUGACCCUGGAGAAGUCUCUCACCGCGAGCGAGCGUUUAUACAUCCCCAAUAAAGCCUGGCCUUCUUACCUUUGCUAUGGUCUCUAGGUAUGAAAUUAUCUGCAAACUGGUGCAAGAUAAUCAUCCUGUGGCCAUGUAAGUAUGUUUCUUCUCCUUUUGGUUAGAGGUUUUUAGAACACUUCUCACAAAAAAACAUGGAAUUACAUGUAGCAUAAAACUGAGCUGUAAAUGAGAAAAGUGUUUCUUUAAUAGUUAAAUAUAACAAUAACAACAAAAACAAAAAUCUCAGAACUUACAUUCUUUGCAAUUUCAGUACCCUCUGCUUUUACACAGCAGAAGUAUUUAUUUAGGAUCAGGUAUGCUUGGUUCACAUGUCAUAAGGACCAUCUUCUAACAAUAUUACAAAUUAAUUAGAAAGGCUAAUAUACUGUGUUUCAAGUGGAAAAAAUUGUUUGCUUAUAUCUGCAUCACUAACAUAUGAGACCCAGUCUAGAUACUCCUAUAAUAAAUGUUUAAAUAUAGGUGUUCUGGUCUGAUCACUUUCAUAUAGAGGGAUUUAGUUUUAGUGCAUCAUCUUACCAACAUUGCAGCAGCAAAUUUUGGCCUAAAUUGAAAAAUAAUUUCCAUUUGUGAAUCAUCAACCAGUUUUGUGAUACUUAAUGUUUGGAAAAUCUUCUUAAAGAGAGACAUAAUAUUUUUUAACAUUUUUUAUUUUUUUUAUUUUUUACCCCAGAGAAAGAAUUCUUGAUUUGGUAGGAUAUAGUAAGCCUGGAGAAAAAAAUCCAACACACAAUAGAUGGAAUCAUCUAUUCUCUACCUAUUAUCUAUAUUAUACUAAGGUUUCAUUUUUGUCAUCUCCUUUUUCUCCUGACAGGAACAAAGAAGAGGAAUCAGAACAGUUCCCAUUUUCUUCCUUUCUCAACUCCAGAUUUGUUGGUAGGAAAACCAGAAUUCUAUAAAUAAAAUAAAGUAAAAUAAAUAAAGAAGGUCCAUUAGAUGAUUUUACAUAAAAACCUAGCUGAACUGAUGCACAAGCUGGUAGUCUUGGAAAAGCUUUCAGCAUCCUUGCUACCACCCAUUGUCAUUAAAAAGGUUUCCUAUUUAAUAGACAGAUGGUGGCUGGUUUGUGUUGGAAUCCAAGCCCCCUUCACCUUUGGAAUAUUGAAACAAUGUGGAUAUCAAACCAUGUAGAUUGUUCAAUACCUUACAGUGUUAGAAUGUCUCUGUGUCUUUUGUCUUUCUUGCCUAGAUAAAUGAAUUUCAAAAGCACUUAUUUGCUCUUUCUUUUAAAUUUGAAGAUCACUGGCAUCCACUAACCUAUGCAAUCACUAAAUUAACAAGUGAGAUUGAUCUAUGUAGUGUAGAUGAGAAACAAGUGCAUAUUCUAUUGUCCCAAAUGGAAGUAUUUUAAUACUACAUCCCCCGCUGUGCCACUUGGUGUUACCUUUCCAUAGUCCUGCUUUGCCAAAACCUUGGUGGGGAUUCCAUGGACCAUCAAUUUCUCCUAACAAUCAAAAAGGCCAGCAGCUCAUUUUGGAGAAGCAGAAAGCACCUCUCUCUGGUAGCAAACCAUGGGCAUGCUAUGAUAGGGCAUCCUUCUGUAUUUUGCAGGGAAUUCAAACCCAAUUGUACUUUUUAGGCUCCUGCAAUCUGCAUAAUAUGCAAUUAGACUAAGCAGUUGUAAUUUUUUCUUAGUGACAUGUUCCUCUGCAUAAAUAAAUAUCAAGUGCCAUA